AUUGAACGCUGGCGGCAGGCCUAACACAUGCAAGUCGAACGAAUGGCGGACGGGUGAGUAAUGUCUGAGAAACUGCCCGAUGGAGGGGGAUAACUACUGGAAACGGUAGCUAAUCCCGCAUACCCUCGGAUGUGCCCAGAUGGGAUUAGCUAGUAGGUGGGGUAACGGCUGCCCUCGGCGACGAUCCCUAGCUGGGCUGAGAGGAGGACCAGCCACACUGGAACUGAGACACGGUCCAGACUCCUACGGGAGGCAGCAGUGGGGAAUAUUGCACAAGGGGCGCAAGCCUGAGGCAGCCAUGCCGAGUGUAUGAAGAAGGCCUUCGGGUUGUAAAGUACUUUUAGCGAGGAGGCGUUACUCGCAGAAGAAGCACCGGCUAACUCCGUGCCAGCCGCCGCGGUAAUUC
rnacentral:rRNA from 1 species